rnacentral:rRNA from 1 species
ACGGAGGAUGCGAGCGUUAUCCGGAUUUAUUGGGUUUAAAGGGAGCGCAGACGGGAGAUUAAGUCAGUUGUGAAAGUUUGCGGCUCAACCGUAAAAUUGCAGUUGAUACUGGUUUCCUUGAGUGCAGUUGAGGCAGGCGGAAUUCGUGGUGUAGCGGUGAAAUGCUUAGAUAUCACGAAGAACCCCGAUUGCGAAGGCAGCUUGCUAAACUGUAACUGACGUUCAUGCUCGAAAGUGUGGGUAUCAAACAGGAUUAGAUACCCUGGUAGUCCACACGGUAAACGAUGGAUACUCGCUGUUGGCGAUAUACUGUCAGCGGCCAAGCGAAAGCAUUAAGUAUCCCACCUGGGGAGUACGCCGGCAACGGUG